AUGGUGACGCCUGCAGCUGGUUCACCGCCGCACUCCGGUGCGGUGGUGAGGCAACAGGGAACCCGGUGCAAGACCGGGACUGCCCCGCAGCGGUGAGUGGGAACGACCGCCAUCUCCCCGGCAUCCGCCGGGGAAACAGCACUUCGCCUUCGGGCGGGGGAAGCGAUGGCCAGUAGGCGGCUUCGGCCGAGCCCGCGAGUCCGAAGACCUGCCAGCGCACCGUGCCCGCC
rnacentral:ncRNA from 2 species